rnacentral:rRNA from 1 species
AGCUCGUGUCGUGAGAUGUCGGUUAAGUCCGCUAACGAGCGCAACCCUCGCUGUGUGUUAUAUGUGUCACACGGGACUGCCGGUCUUAAGCCGGAGGAAGGUGGGGAUGAUGUCAAGUCAGCAUGGCCUUUAUAUCCUGGGCUACACACACGCUACAAUGGCCAACACAAUAGGUUGCUAAGCCGCGAGGUGGCGCCAAUCCAUAAAGUUGGUCUCAGUUCAGAUUGUAGGCUGCAACCCGCCUGCAUGAAGCUGGAUUCGCUAGUAAUCGCGCAUCAGCUAUGGCGCGGUGAAUACGUUCCCGGGCCUU